UGCUCCAGUUGCCUAGUGGAUAGAGUGCCCACCUCGAAUGUGGGAGGUCGUGGGUUCAAUUCCUGAUGGGUCAU